UCCUACGGGAGGCAGCAGUGGGGAAUAUUGCACAAUGGGCGCAAGCCUGAUGCAGCAACGCCGCGUGAGGGACGAAGGCCUUCGGGUUGUAAACCUCUUUUAGUAGGAAGAAGCGACUGGGUUUUCCUGGGAGUGACGGUACCUGCAGAAAAAGCACCGGCUAACUACGUGCCAGCAGCCGCGGUAAUACGUAGGGUGCAAGCGUUGUCCGGAAUUAUUGGGCGUAAAGAGCUCGUAGGCGGUUUGUCGCGUCUGCUGUGAAAACCCGAGGCUCAACCUCGGGCCUGCAGUGGGUACGGGCAGACUAGAGUGCGGUAGGGGAGAUUGGAAUUCCUGGUGUAGCGGUGGAAUGCGCAGAUAUCAGGAGGAACACCAAUGGCGAAGGCAGAUCUCUGGGCCGUAACUGACGCUGAGGAGCGAAAGCAUGGGGAGCGAACAGGAUUAGAUACCCUGGUAGUCCAUGCCGUAAACGUUGGGAACUAGAUGUGGGGACCAUUCCACGGUCUCCGUGUCGCAGCUAACGCAUUAAGUUCCCCGCCUGGGGAGUACGGCCGCAAGGCUAAAACUCAAAGGAAUUGACGGGGGCCCGCACAAGCGGCGGAGCAUGCGGAUUAAUUCGAUGCAACGCGAAGAACCUUACCAAGGCUUGACAUAUACCGGAAACGGCUGGAAACAGUCGCCCCGCAAGGUCGGUAUACAGGUGGUGCAUGGUUGUCGUCAGCUCGUGUCGUGAGAUGUUGGGUUAAGUCCCGCAACGAGCGCAACCCUCGUCCUAUGUUGCCGGCACGUAAUGGUGGGAACUCAUGGGAUACUGCCGGGGUCAACUCGGAGGAAGGUGGGGAUGACGUCAAAUCAUCAUGCCCCUUAUGUCUUGGGCUUCACGCAUGCUACAAUGGCCGGUACAAAGGGCUGCGAUACCGCAAGGUGGAGCGAAUCCCAAAAAGCCGGUCUCAGUUCGGAUUGAGGUCUGCAACUCGACCUCAUGAAGUCGGAGUCGCUAGUAAUCGCAGAUCAGCAACGCUGCGGUGAAUACGUUCCCGGGCCUUGUACACACCGCC
rnacentral:rRNA from 1 species